rnacentral:rRNA from 1 species
AGUGAACGCUGGCGGCGUGCCUAAUACAUGCAAGUAGAACGCAGUUUCGAACGGGUGAGUAACGCGUAGGUAACUGCCUGGUAGCGGGGGAUAACUCUUGGAAACGAUAGCUAAUACCGCAUACUACCAGAUGGACCUGCGUUGUAUUAGCUAGUUGGUGAGGUAACGGCUCACCAAGGCAACGAUACAUAGCCGACCUGGGAUGGUGAUCGGCCAAAAUGGGACUGGGACACGGGCCAGAAGCCGAAGGGAGGGAGCAGGAGGGAAUCUUCGGCAAUGGGGGGAAACCUGACCGAGCAACGCCGCGUGAGUGAAGAAGGGUUUCGGAUCGUAAAGCUCUGUUGUUAAGGAAGCGGUACUUAACCAGAAAGGGACGGCUAACUACGUGCCAGCAGCCGCGGUAAUUC